rnacentral:snRNA from 1 species
AUCUCUUCUCGGCCUUUUGGCUAAGAUCAAGUGUAGUAUAAUCUUAUUUAUGAUCACUUGUAUAUUAUGAAGCACUUCUC